GACGAACGUUGGCGGCGUGCUUAAUACAUGCAAGUCAACCGAAGCAGUGGUAGCAAUAUCGCUGUGGAGGUGGCGCACGGGUGAGUAACACGUAGGUAAUCUGCCUUCAGGUCUGGCAUAACUCCGGGAAACCGGGGCUAAUAGCAGAUGAUGCAGCGGCUCGACAUCGAGACAGUUGUUAAAGCUAUGGCGCCUGAAGAUGAGCCUGCGUCUGAUUAGCUAGUUGGCGGGGUAACGGCCCACCAAGGCAACGAUCAGUAGCUGGUCUGAGAGGAUGAUCAGCCACACUGGAACUGAGACACGGUCCAGACUCCUACGGGAGGCAGCAGUAAGGAAUAUUGCUCAAUGGGAGAAAUCCUGAAGCAGCAACGCCGCGUGAGGGACGAAGGGCUUUUGCUUGUAAACCUCUGUAGUGAGAGAAAAAAAUCCCAAUCUUUGGGACAUGAUGGUAUCUCAAAAGUAAGCCCCGGCUAACUACGUG
rnacentral:rRNA from 1 species